rnacentral:rRNA from 1 species
GUAACGCGUAUACAAUCUACCUUUUACAGGGGGAUACUCCAGAGAAAUUUGGAAUAAUAUCCCAUAGUAUUAUAGAAUGGCAUCAUUUUAUAAUUAAAGUUCAGGCGGUAAAAGAUGAGUAUGCGUCCUAUUAGCUAGUUGGUAAGGUAACGGCUUACCAAGGCAACGAUAGGUAGGGGUCCUGAGAGGGAGAUCCCCCACACUGGUACUGAGACACGGACCAGACUCC